GGGAUUGCCCCAGUAACGGCGAGUGAAGCGGCAACAGCUCAAAUUUGAAAUCUGGUCCCUAGGGCCCGAGUUGUAAUUUGUAGAGGAUGCUUUUGGCAAGGUGCCUUCCGAGUUCCCUGGAACGGGACGCCAUAGAGGGUGAGAGCCCCGUCUGGUCGGAUACCGCGCCUCUGUAAAGCUCCUUCGACGAGUCGAGUAGUUUGGGAAUGCUGCUCAAAAUGGGAGGUAUAUGUCUUCUAAAGCUAAAUAUUGGCCAGAGACCGAUAGCGCACAAGUAGAGUGAUCGAAAGAUGAAAAGCACUUUGAAAAGAGGGUUAAAAAGUACGUGAAAUUGUUGAAAGGGAAGCGCCUAUGACCAGACUUGGGCCCGGUGAAUCAUCCAGCGUUCUCGCUGGUGCACUUUGCCGGGCACAGGCCAGCAUCAGUUUGGCUUGGGGGAAAAAGGCUUAGGGAAUGUAGCUCCUCGGAGUGUUAUAGACCUUUGCAUAAUACCCUGGGCUGGACUGAGGUUCGCGCAUCUGCAAGGAUGCUGGCGUAAUGGUCAUCAGCGACCCGUCUUGAAACACGGACCAAGGAGUCGUCUUCGUAUGCGAGUGUUCGGGUGUAAAACCCCUACGCGUAAUGAAAGUGAACGCAGGUGAGAGCUUCGGCGCAUCAUCGACCGAUCCUGAUGUUCUCGGAUGGAUUUGAGUAAGAGCAUACGGGGCCGGACCCGAAAGAAGGUGAACUAUGCCUGUAUAGGGUGAAGCCAGAGGAAACUCUGGUGGAGGCUCGCAGCGGUUCUGACGUGCGAAUCGAUCGUCAAAUAUGGGCAUGGGGGCGAAAGACUAAUCGAACCUUCUAGUAGCUGGUU
rnacentral:rRNA from 1 species